UUGUAUAUAUAGUUUUAUAUAUCAGGGUUUCAUUGGAGUAGGCUAUAUUUUACUUAAUAUAUAAGACUAUAGGAUUGCUGUACAGCCGCACAUAUACAUAAAGAAUCGUCCUCUAGUGCAUCAGAAUUAUAACGGUUUAUAAAAAUGCAUUUUUACGUCUUUAGUCCAUCCAUCACGUCUUAUUAGCCUUUUUUGGGUGCAAAAGUAAUACGCUGUCAUUUUCAGAUCUUCACCUCUGACAGUCUCAUAAGUGAAUGGAUGACCUUUGUACAUUUCAGGAUAAUAAAAGUAAUAAAUGUAAACAAACCAAAGUAAAUGGCCUAGCUAGCUUUACUGAUGGUCUGGCCAUUUUGGCAUAAGUCACGUCGUGAAAAUAUACAUAAAUGGUGAGUGCCAAUUUCUACUGUCCUGCGAAGUGUCGUAUAUGGCUUGCGUCAGUUCGUGAAAAUCUUAACAUGGGAAAAUCUCUUGGCAAACAUCAAAGAAUAAUUUAGCUCUACAACGAGGUCACAAAAAGAAAUGAGCUGUAGGUAUGUGUCAGAGCAUGAAAAACUACAUGCUCUAGUGGGGAGCUCUCAAAAUGGGAUACGUCAGUUCGUGAAAUAGGAUUUUGCGUUUGACGCCUUUGGGUUAGAGCGUUAUCGCGCUCUAAAAGAUGCGACUUUCAUCGUUAAUUUUUUAUUAUACUCCUGUGUCAGAGCUUGGUGUAUUUAUAUAAAAUAAAGUAGGGGGCAAUCUGUUAAGCGUGUUCUAACUGCAAUGCCAUUUUGUGUUAACAAAAAAAUCGUCGGAACAAAAGCCAGAUGAUCCAUCGCAGCUCGUAACUAAACACGGAAAACGCGGAAAAGGAAUAAUACCCACACAUGUGUUUGUGUGGUUGGGAGGAUAUCACGUAGUCCGAGCAGUCGUCCGAACAAUGAGAACGCUCGGUCGGAGGCGGCGGUGAGUUUUAAGUGCCCGCAAGCGUGAUGGAUAGACUCACUCCCAGCCACCACACGUAGAAGUCUUGCAGGAAAUUCAUCUUAUGCCUCACACCUUCACGAUACGGAGUCAAAGCGAAAUGGCGUUGAAAAUGAUACGUGAUCCAGCCUCUAAGGUGCAGACAAUUAAAUCUUGCAGUCCUCCAGAAGUAGACCAGGGACAGAAGCUGGACUGGUCAGCGGCGAUCGCUGAGUAAGGGAGGAAGGGAGAUGGAGAGGAGAGGACUAAGAGAGAUAGUACUAUAGUGGGUGAGAGAUUGAUAAAAGGGGAGAGAAGGAAACAUACAAAUGGUGAGCGUUAGUGUAUGUGAGAGACAGAAAUAGAAAAGAGAGGAGCCAUCCAAGCAAUGAGUAGAGGAAAGGCAAACGAACAAAAAAUUAUAAACGUAAACGUAUUUACGAGUAAAACGGUGAGCAUACGGGGUUUCCCUGCGUGGCCCAACACUCCCAACAGAGAUUAGAUAUUGCGAACUGUCCUCGCUCUCUACAUCCAUCAUGCCGUGUGGGAACAGAUAUAUGAUAUCUGUUUUCACCUUGAUGAACUCGAGAAUCAAGCUCCUUGUAAGAAAAACAGAAAGCCUUAACACAAUAGUGAUAUAACAAAAAUACACCUGACAUUUACUUAUUAUAUAUAACUGGAUUAUUUCUGAUGAUCUUUACGCUGCUUUUGGCGGAGAGUCGGCUAUUCAUUCAACUUUCUGCAUAGAUAUGAAACAAAUUAUAUAUCUUCAAUGAGAAAUUUGACUAUGUGUGUGUGUAUGAGAGAGUGAGAGAGCGAGAGAGCGAGCGAGUCUUCAAAGUCACAUCCACCUACCAUGGUGUGACCAUGGCAAGUGAGCGCGUCCACAGCAUUUCCGUCGUGGUGACCAGACCAAGGUCUAUAUACGUACUUACAAAGACCUUAACAUCUACAAGGACGUGACUUAACGCCUCGGUAAAGGGAUCCCUGUGAUUUUGUUCUGCAACCGUGAAGGGCGGCAGGUGGUUAGACAGGAUGCAGUGCUGAGAGCAAGGGGCUGGAUAUGGGUGUUGCUCCUUUUUUGGAUGUUUUCGGUCUGGUUUAAGGGUGCCUCGUAAUAUGCUAUUGGUGUCCCUUGCUUCUCUGCAUUUUACCUACACUGCAGCUGCUCUCAAACUAGUACAGAGG